AUCCAGCUGACGAGUCCCAACUAGGACAAAACACACAUCCUGGAU
rnacentral:hammerhead_ribozyme from 1 species